UCAACUUUCGAAAUGAAGUCUCAGUAAAUAGCUUUAAAUACUUUAUUUCAAAUUCCAGGUCUAUACUUGCCACAUCUCGAAUCAACUUCACUCUGCUCCUGCAAUAACUUUCAAACACCCUGGUGGGUGGUUCGGGGCCAGUCUUUCGUGCUCUAGUCGUAACAAUCAAUAAUUAAUAAAAAAAAUAAAAAAAAUGUGUUGCCAACAUAUUAUUUAACUUCAUCUAAUCAUAUAGAGCUAUUUCAUUGCUA
rnacentral:lncRNA from 1 species